rnacentral:lncRNA from 1 species
AUUUCCAUAGCACCAGUGAAUGGCUGGUCUUUGAUAGGAAAAUUGUGUUUUGCUAGAAAUGAGGACAAAGAAAAAGUGGAUGCAGAUAUAGGUGGGCUUAUGGGUGAAUGGGCAGGGAAAUGAAAGAAGCCGCUCCUGAUAGCUGCUAGUCCCUAAAUUAGAAGCAAGGUCAUCCCAAAAAAGAGAAGAUUGAGAGUUUUGAAGAGUGGAGAAAGUUUAGAACAGCAGCUGAGGGAAAUGGGAGAGGCACAUGUAAUAGGACUGCUGAGUAACAUUGACGGCACAACUGAGAUUAGUUUCACUCCAGAUUUAUGAUCUCCAUUCUAUAUGGUUAUGAUUUUUCUUUUUCCUUCAGCAGAGCAGUGCUCAAGGAAUGUUUACAGCUAAGGAGGCUCCAUGGAGGAUUGCCUGAAGGACAUGAAGUCCAUCCAUCUCUCCAGAUAGUUUAGAUUAUAUCUCAAGAUCAAGUUGCCUGGUCACCAAGACAAGAGAAAGAGAGAUCCCUUAGACACUCAGCAGUCACUUUGUCUACUCCAGGAAGCUCUCUGAUGUGGAAGUCGAGAUUCAAAGAUGACACAGGUAGCAAUGCUGGGCAUCAAGCUAAAGUGUCAUACCGCGCUGGCCUCUUCCUAAAACUGCUGCUUGAACAUUGCCUGCAAUGUGGAACUCACUGCCUCAAGGGCAAACAAUUUCGUCUUUAAUGUGUAGAAAGUGUUACCACUAGACUGUCCAUCAGGCAUCUCAAAUUUAACAUGUCCAAUACUUAAUUCAUAAAGUUGUUUCAUAAUUUUGUUUAUAGUCAAUUGAGGAGCGGGGCUUACCAGAGAAGAGCGGGCACUAAUGAGGAUAACAUUAUUCCAUCAAUAAUUAACCACAGAUGAUAUGUUAAGCAUUCAUUUUUAUUUUAUUACUAAGGCCAAAGAAAGAGGUCAGUAAAAACUGUUACCUUAUCUCCUUGGGAUUUUCCAAGAUCACCUUGUUAGAGCUUAAUGCUCCAUU